rnacentral:tRNA from 1 species
GCCUUUAUAGCUCAGUGGCAGAGCACUGGUCUUGUAAACCAGGUGUCGAGAGUUCGAUCCUCUCUGGAGGCA